UAGAGUUUGAUCCUGGCUCAGAUUGAACGCUGGCGGCAGGCCUAACACAUGCAAGUCGAGCGGUAACAGGAAUUAGCUUGCUAAUUCGCUGACGAGCGGCGGACGGGUGAGUAAUGCCUGGGAAUAUGCCUUAGUGUGGGGGAUAACUAUUGGAAACGAUAGCUAAUACCGCAUAAUGUCUUCGGACCAAGGAGGGGGACCUUCGGGCCUCUCGCGCUAAGAUUAGCCAGGUGAGAUUAGCUAGUUGGUGAGGUAAGAGCUCACCAAGGCGACGAUCUCUAGCUGGUCUGAGAGGAUGAUCAGCCACACUGGAACUGAGACACGGUCCAGACUCCUACGGGAGGCAGCAGUGGGGAAUAUUGCACAAUGGGCGCAAGCCUGAUGCAGCCAUGCCGCGUGUAUGAAGAAGGCCUUCGGGUUGUAAAGUACUUUCAGUGGGGAGGAAGGUGUUGUCGUUAAUAGCGGCAGCAUUUGACGUUACCCACAGAAGAAGCACCGGCUAACUCCGUGCCAGCAGCCGCGGUAAUACGGAGGGUGCGAGCGUUAAUCGGAAUUACUGGGCGUAAAGCGCAUGCAGGUGGUUCAUUAAGUCAGAUGUGAAAGCCCGGGGCUCAACCUCGGAACCGCAUUUGAAACUGGUGAACUAGAGUGCUGUAGAGGGGGGUAGAAUUUCA
rnacentral:rRNA from 1 species